rnacentral:rRNA from 1 species
CCUACGGGUGGCAGCAGUGAGGAAUAUUGGUCAAUGGGCGAGAGCCUGAACCAGCCAAGCCGCGUGAGGGAUGACGGCCCUAUGGGUUGUAAACUUCUUUUGUAGGGGAAUACAGUCAGGGACGUGUUCCGCAGUGCGUGUACUUUAUGAACAAGGAUCGCGUAACUCCGCGCCAGCAGCCGCGGUAAUACGGGGGAUGCGAGCGUUAUCCGGAUUUAUUGGGUUUAAAGGGUGCGUAGGUGGUUCGUUAUGUCAGUGGUAAAAUUGCGGGGCUAAACGGCGACGAGCCGUUGAAUCUGGCAGACUUGAGUAGGCGAGAGGUAGGCGGAAUGCGCGGUGUAGCGGUGAAAUGCUUAGAUAUCGCGAAGAACUCCGAUGGCGAAGGCAGUUUACCGGC